UACGUAGGGGGCGAGCGUUGUCCGAAGUUACUGGGCGUAAAGAGCGCGUAGGCGGGUCUUUAAGUGAGGGGUGAAAGGUUCGGGCUCAACCCGAACACUGCCUUUCAUACUGGGGACCUUGAGUGCGGGAGAGGCGAGUGGAAUGGUCGGUGUAGCGGUGAAAUGCGUAGAUAUCGAUCGGAACACCCAUGGCGAAGGCAGCUCGCUGGCCCGUGACUGACGCUGAGGCGCGAAAGCGUGGGGAGCAAACAGG
rnacentral:rRNA from 1 species